GGAAGGAACGACGAUGUGUCAGAGUCUGGUCGGGUAAUUGAAUCAACAAUACGAGAGUUCUAUUGGGAAAAAUGGUAGCUCUCUCGGUCGUUAUGGCUUUUUUGCCUUCGUCAUUUUGGGGAUCCCUUCGUCGGCUUCGAAUACUCUUGCUUAGGAUCUUCUUCGUCGCUUCUAACUAAGGUCCAAUGUUUUGAUUUAGGAGUUCAUAGCAGGAACAUCACAUGAAGCACUUUGAUUAGGGUUUAAUUCCCCCAAUUAGAAGGGUUUACCUUCGGUUUCCCCCACCUUCCGUUCUAAUGACUUUUGCUAUCUCAUGUAUCCAUCAAGUGUGAAAUAGUGAUUAUAAGUUUUCUGGUGGAUUCGAUUGGUCACGAGAACGACUUUUACAAAAAGGGACUUUAGGUGUUGAUGUUGAUAGUGUAAUUGUAUAAGUUGGUAAUGUUUUAUGUUUCAUCAAUUCUUGAUUUAUCGAAAAAAAGGCUUACAUCUUUAUAUCCAUAUGUUGCACAUGUAUUGAAUUUGGG